GCGCGGCGGACCGGCGGCGGGCGGUGGUGUGUCGCUCUGUUCCAGUGGUGGUAGGGCCGCGCCCGCCAGAGUAUGACCCGAAUGGCGGCCGCCGCGCCGGAGGUGUCGGUGAAGAGCGAGCCGCUGGAGGAGGCCGUGCUGGUGCAGAACGGAGACUCGGACGGAGAGGGAAGCGGCGAUGGAGCUGCGUCGGCGAUGGACGACUCGAUGAACGACAGCGUCAACGGCAACUCGAUCCUGGGCACCUCCCUCGCCAUGACGUCGAUGACGUCAUCACCCUUCAGCACGACGCUGCCCAACAUGUCCCUGACGGCCGACUGGGCGGCGCGGCUGAAGGAGCUGGACGCCGGCGCGCCCAUCACCGACCUGCUCACUGACCGGCUCACCACCUCCUCUGCCGCCGUCAACAUCGACAUGUGCGUGGUGUGCGGCGACCGCGCCUCGGGCCGACACUACGGCGCCAUCAGCUGCGAGGGCUGCAAGGGAUUCUUCAAGCGCUCCAUCCGCAAACAGCUGGGCUACCAAUGCCGCGGCACAAAGGACUGCGAGGUGACCAAGUACCACCGCAACCGCUGCCAGUACUGCCGACUGCAGAAGUGUCUAAAAAUGGGGAUGCGCAGCGACCUGAAGGACCUACGCAGCCAGGGCUACCAGCGCUACUACGAGAGCCUGCCGCACCUGGCCGCCGAGGUCCGGACGCCGCGCGCCGAGUCGGGCAACGGCAGCCGCAAUUCUCCAGACAUGUCAAAUCCACGCUUCACGCUUCAGGACCGAAUCAACUCCAUCAUGGAGUCGAAUGUGGUGCAGCGAGGAUAUGGCAAGAUACAAGGAAAAAUCGGCUCCGGCGCCGUGUCGCCAGUCCCGGAGAACGGUCGGACGGAGGGCGGUCCGGCGGCCGCCGCGCCCCCGCCGCCCCUCUCCGCGGCCGCCUCCGACGAGCGCGACAAGGAGGCGGUCGGCCGCGUGGUGGAGCGUCUGACCCGCAUCCUGGAGUCGGACGAGGGCGACGGCGGCGACUCGGGCGUGGUGGCGCUGGAGGGCGCGCUGCUCGAGGGCGCGCCGCUGGCCUUCUCGGUGACGCCGCCGCCGUUCAGCGGCACGCUCGACUCGUCCUACAUCACAGAGAUCGGCUCGCGCGUGCUCAUCACCAUCGUCAACUGGGCCAAGAGCAUCGCCGCCUUCCAGGUGCUGGCCUCGGACGUGCAGGAGAGCCUGGCGCGCGCGCGCUGGGCCGAGCUGUUCAUGCUGGCGCUGGUGCAGUGUCGCGAGGCGCUGGACCUGCCGCGGCUGCUGACGGCCGUCACACACCACCUGUCCACCUCCGUCCACGAGAGGAAGACGCCCGUCUCGCGGCUCCGACUGGUCACGCAGCACCUGUACAUGAUCCAGGAGUUUGUGGCCAGCGUGCGGCGGCUCUCGCCGUCUGCCGCCGAGCUGGCGCACCUGCGCGCCAUCGUUCUGUUCCACCCGGACGGCCAGGAGCCGGCCUCGCGCCGCCAGCUCGAGCUGUUCCAGAGCAAGGCGCUGGAGGGCCUGCGCCAGCUGACGGCCGAGCGGAGCGCAGAGCCCGACCGGCUGGAGCUGCUGCUGCUGCGGCUGCCGGCGCUGCGCGGCAUGAGCCCGCUGGCCGUCGACCACCUGUUCUUCCCGGAGAUCCCGCUGACGGGGCCCGUGUCGGCCAACCAGGCGCGAAUUGAGGAGCUGCUGCCGCACAUCAUCCGCGGAGACGCCGACGAUAUCGGCGGCACCGAACAGUCGAGCCCCAGCGGCGACUCGCCCUGCUCAGAAAACCCCUCCGAGUGAGUCGCUCCAGCUCAGAAAACCCCUCCGAGUGAGUCGCUCCAGCUCAGUGAACCCCUCCGAGUGAGUCGCCCUGCUCAGAAAACCCCUCCGAGUGAGCCGCCCGGCUCAGUGACGCGUCCAGGACUCGGAGUCCGCUCCGAGUCCGGACUCGGCGCCCGGGCCGGACCGCAGGCUGUCGUUUCGGCGCUGAUCUCCGGGUCCUGAUUCCGGCCCAGUCCGGCGGGUCGGCCGGACUCUGAGGCUGUACUGGAGUGUGUGUGGCCGUGCGAGGUCCGGUUGUCCCCCUCCGGGGCCGUUCCGGACCCGCUCGGCGAUUGAGGGAACAACGAGCCGGCGUCAGAGCUGCGGCCGGCGCCCGCUCACCGGCGGCCGGCCCUGACCCGGCACCACUGUACAAAAUGGCGCCCCCCGCUGGCGUGAUAGGUCGGCGACGACCCGCCGGCCGCGCGGUUUUUCACCCGGCGGCCCUUUUUAAACGUGAUUCGCAUUAUCCAUAUCUCGAUUUGGGCAUCAGUGCGGAACGCAGUGUCCGAGUGUUAGGCGACGUUCGUUUUUAUUCCCAUUUCGUGCAUGUUUUCUUCGAUUAUCACUCACGCGAGCGCUUGUGUUGUUUGUACAGAACAAGGGAAGUGAACAUCUUUUAUGGUCUUGUUUUGUUUUAAUGCAUAUUUUUUACACGGAAAUUGGCAGUGAAAUUUGCGGUGUUUUUAAAAUCGGUGCGUAAUUGUGCAUGUUUUCACGGUGUUCCUGCGGUCCACAGAUGGAUAUUUCUAGUCCCAGCAUGCCUACAUUUGUAUGAAGUGACUGUAAAUACAUUCAGAGAACAUCA
rnacentral:misc_RNA from 1 species